rnacentral:rRNA from 1 species
AUUGAACGCUGGCGGCAUGCCUUACACAUGCAAGUCGAACGGCAGCACGGAGCUUGCUCUGGUGGCGAGUGGCGAACGGGUGAGUAAUAUAUCGGAACGUACCCUAGAGUGGGGGAUAACGUAGCGAAAGUUACGCUAAUACCGCAUACGAUCUAAGGAUGAAAGUGGGGGAUCGCAAGACCUCAUGCUCGUGGAGCGGCCGAUAUCUGAUUAGCUAGUUGGUAGGGUAAAAGCCUACCAAGGCAUCGAUCAGUAGCUGGUCUGAGAGGACGACCAGCCACACUGGAACUGAGACACGGUCCAGACUCCUACGGGAGGCAGCAGUGGGGAAUUUUGGACAAUGGGCGAAAGCCUGAUCCAGCAAUGCCGCGUGAGUGAAGAAGGCCUUCGGGUUGUAAAGCUCUUUUGUCAGGGAAGAAACGGUGAAAGCUAAUAUCUUUUGCUAAUGACGGUACCUGAAGAAUAAGCACCGGCUAACUACGUGCCAGCAGCCGCGGUAAUACGUAGGGUGCAAGCGUUAAUCGGAAUUACUGGGCGUAAAGCGUGCGCAGGCGGUUUUGUAAGUCUGAUGUGAAAUCCCCGGGCUCAACCUGGGAAUUGCAUUGGAGACUGCAAGGCUAGAAUCUGGCAGAGGGGGGUAGAAUUCCACGUGUAGCAGUGAAAUGCGUAGAUAUGUGAGGAACACCGAUGGCGAAGGCAGCCCCCUGGGUCAAGAUUGACGCUCAUGCACGAAAGCGUGGGGGGCAAACAGGAUUAGAUACCCUGGUAGUCCACGCCCUAAACGAUGUCUACUAGUUGUCGGGUCUUAAUUGACUUGGUAACGCAGCUAACGCGUGAAGUAGACCGCCUGGGGAGUACGGUCGCAAGAUUAAAACUCAAAGGAAUUGACGGGGACCCGCACAAGCGGUGGAUGGUGUGGAUUAAUUCGAUGCAACGCGAGAAACCUUACCUACCCUUGACAUGGCUGGAAUCCUUGAGAGAUCAGGGAGUGCUCGAAAGAGAACCAGUACACAGGUGCUGCAUGGCUGUCGUCAGCUCGUGUCGUGAGAUGUUGGGUUAAGUCCCGCAACGAGCGCAACCCUUGUCAUUAGUUGCUACGAAAGGGCACUCUAAUGAGACUGCCGGUGACAAACCGGAGGAAGGUGGGGAUGACGUCAAGUCCUCAUGGCCCUUAUGGGUAGGGCUUCACACGUCAUACAAUGGUACAUACAGAGCGCCGCCAACCCGCGAGGGGGAGCUAAUCGCAGAAAGUGUAUCGUAGUCCGGAUUGUAGUCUGCAACUCGACUGCAUGAAGUUGGAAUCGCUAGUAAUCGCGGAUCAGCAUGUCGCGGUGAAUACGUUCCCGGGUCU